rnacentral:rRNA from 1 species
GAUCCUGGCUCAGGAUGAACGCUGGCGGCGUGCUUAACACAUGCAAGUCGAACGAAGCUCUUUGAAGUGAGGAUUCGUCUGAACGGAUGAGAUGACUUAGUGGCGGACGGGUGAGUAACGCGUGGGUAACCUGCCGUAUGCAGGGGGACAACAGUUGGAAACGACUGCUAAUACCGCAUAAGCGCACGGGAUUGCAUGAUCCAGUGUGAAAAGAUUUAUCGGCAUACGAUGGACCCGCGUCUGAUUAGCUAGUUGGUGAGGUAACGGCCCACCAAGGCGACGAUCAGUAGCCGGCCUGAGAGGGUGAACGGCCACAUUGGGACUGAGACACGGCCCAAACUCCUACGGGAGGCAGCAGUGGGGAAUAUUGCACAAUGGGGGAAACCCUGAUGCAAGCGACGCCGCGUGAGUGAAGAAGUAUUUCGGUAUGUAAAGCUCUAUCAGCAGGGAAGAAAGUGACGGUACCUGACUAAGAAGCCCCGGCUAACUACGUGCCAGCAGCUGC